AGCGAACGCUGGCGGCAGGCUUAACACAUGCAAGUCGAGCGGCCACUCUCGGGUGUCAUCGGCGUACGGGUGAGUAACGCGUGGGAACGUGCCCUCUGGUUCGGAAUUACUCAUGCAUACUUGAGCUCGUACCGGAUACUCCCUUUUGGGGACAGGCUUGCUGCCGGAGGAUCGGCCCGCGUCUGAUUCGCUAGUUGGUGCGGUAACGGCUCACCAAGGCGACGAUCAGUAGCUGGUCAGAGAGGAAGAGCAGCCACACUGGGGCUGAGACACGGUCGAGAAUACUAAGGGAGGGAGGAGAGGGGAAUAUUGGAAAAUGGGGGCAAGGCUGAACCAGCCAGGCCGGGAGAGUGAUGAAGGCCUGAGGGAAGUAAAGCUCGUUUAUCCGGGACGAUAAUGACGGUACCGGAGGAAUAAGCCCCGGCUAACUUCGUG
rnacentral:rRNA from 1 species